AAAAAAAAAAAAACGAGUGGGGGUGGGUUCAGGUUAAGGGUGGUUUAGGGAGGAGUGAGGGUGGGUUUCGAGGUGGUUCAGGAUGAUGGGGUGUUGGUUCAGGAUGGUGGUUCAGGAUGAUGGGGUGGGUUUCGGGUUGGUUCAGGGUGACAACGGGUUCGAUUUUUCAGCUGGUUUAGGGUAGGGAGUGGUUUUCUUGGGUGAAUCGUGGGCGAGUGAGGCUGGUUUCAGGUGAGGGGGGAUUUCGCGGUGGUUCUUUGUGGUGGUUCAUGUUCAUGUGAGUGGGGGUAGUUUUAGGGUGGUUCAUGAUUCAGUGGUGGUGGGUUCGAGUUGGUUCAAGGUCAGUGGGCUGGGUUUGUGCUGGCUAUAGGGUGGCCGGUGCCGAUGAGGGUGGUGGUGGUCCCUUUGCUUAUUAAAGCAGCAAAGACUUCUGAAGAUAACAAGUCAUGGAGUCAUGACACUCAAGCUAAGCUGGGUAGUAGUCGUCUGAUUGAGUUGCUGAUAGACACAGCUUAUGUUCAGCAUCCAAGUAACAAGUCAGCUGACAACCCACCUGAUGUAUGACCUGCGUUUAGGCAUCAAUUCAAAAUUUUGAACAAUGACGUAGGGCUAUGCGAAGAUGCCGCCGUAUGAGAGUGUGAUGACGGAUUUCUUCUGGAAUGUUGUCGCGAGAAGAGAAGUGAUGGAGAAUGAGGAAAGUGAAGAGAAUAGUAAAUUGGUGGAUAACAUUGGUUGCUGAUGAUGAAAUGCAGAAUAAAUUUGUUACAGUAGGUGACAGUUUCUUCUUCUUCUUUCCCCUGCCCCCAAAAAAGUUCAAGAAAUUGGAGGUUUUAAUUAUUUCAUUGGAUAGGUGAUAGUACAGACUGGUGAACAAUUAGGCUUUUUCUUUAUUUUUUUUUCAAUGAAUUUUUUUUGUUGUUGUUGUUGAUGAUGUUCUUUUUUUUCUUUUUCUACCUGACUAGUGUUUCUUUUGUUUGUGGAGACAUUAUUAGUUGGGUGUUGGAUAUCAAAUGAUGUAUAUUCCAUCUUGGCUUUGGAAUUGAGGUUUUAUCUGAAAUACUCUUGAAAUGGGUUGUCAACGAAAAAGGGAGGGUGCUUUGAUGUUUUAGGAAGUGUUUAGUUUGUUCUUUCUUUACAAGUUUUGUAAUCUUCUUUCCUAAGGAAAUUUUAAAACAUGUGUCUAUUUUGGGCACCUUAUAUCAAUGAAUUUGUCCAUUUAGUCUAUCCAAUUCUUCGCGCCUUUUUCCUACUUAUUUUGCACUGAUAGUGUGUUUUUAGUUGAUUUUUACAAGUAUUGCUGCUUGGACUUUAUUGGCAAAUGAACCAUGGUUCUGGAUACAUGGAUGGAACUAGCCUUUAGGUUGAUUGUCUAAAGCACAUACUCUGUAUUAGGUUUCAACUCGUCAUUUAUUCAGAAUCUUGGGCACAGUGAGGCCCCUCAGUUCUUGUUGGCUUGCACUAGCGGCUUAUUGAUGCAUUUACUUAAACUGAUUAGAAUCGCUAUCACUGAUGGAUGCAAAAGUGUUGAAUUUUUUGUCUGUUGAAUUCAGUUUGAAUCUAUUAGGAGGUUUGGGUAUCAUCCAGUUUAUACAGAUAACUGGCUCCUUGGAUAUUAGAUGCAGAGUGAACUAUUGACCUAGUUUCCUGUACUGGUUUGAAGCCUUUAUAAGCGUACCAUGGUGGACAUUGUUUUGUGUGUGGUUACUAACUAGAUUUUCCGGUCAAAAAGUUUGCCCUAGUGUUUUUUCUUCAGAUAUUAAAUUGAAUUGUUAUGUUGAAUUAAUUAUGUACCAUGUCUAAGAUAAUGCACCACAACUUUAUAGUUUUUGUGGAUACUUAACUUCAAACAAACUUAAACUUUUGGUGCAUGCAUUCUCAGGCUGAAGGUAGUGUAUGCUGAUAAUGAUGUUAUUUUGAUGACAUUUUGCAUUCUGUAUCAAGCUUUGGUUAAACUCUGUGUAGUAUUCCUAAAGCGGAAAGGCAAGGGGUUUUAUUAUUUAUAUUUUGUUUUGGUGAAAAUUUGGCUCACUUGGUCAAUUGUGGAUGUGAUGAGCCAGUGGUUAGUUAUUCCUGUUAUAUAAACUAGUUGUUUUACCCAAUCUCGAUGAAUUUCAAUGUGCUGCAUGGACUUAAUCUUUUCAGAUGUCUAUUUCAUUUGGCCUAAAAGAAUGAACCCCAUCUCUGUUACAUUUUACUAUUCCAACUUCCUACAAUGAAAGUAAUUUUUGCUUGGAACCUUGAAUAGUGAGCAAUUGGUACGAUGUGGAGAUUGCUUGGUAAGUUUUACAUUCCUUUAUGACUCUAAGCCUCUGUUACUUGAAUGCUUGAUUUGAUUCUCAAUUUUGUCAUUGUGGUUUCUGUGACCAGAAAAUGCUCAACCUUGCUUCAAUGGACAUUUUGGAAUGUUGGAUGACUUGUGAUAGUUUGUUGUCUGACCUUUUCAUGAAUAUCAUGAUUAAAUCAUGCCAUCGUGGUGUCAUGUUUUGUUUAGUGGUUUAAUGACACUUCAUUGGUAAUUAGUGUUUUUUUCCCUGUGUGUGUGAAGUAGGUUGUGGAGUAGUAAUCAUAAGGUGUUUGGGUGAUUUUUUUUUUUUUUUUUUUUUUUUUGUGUGUGUGUGUGUGUGUGUGUGUGUGUGUCAGUGCAUGUGUGAGGUGAAGAAAUAUGACUAUCUAUGGUUGUUAGCCAGCCUUAGAUCUUUGAUACAGCAUAAGUGGAAGUAAUAUCAUCUAUUUGGAUCAGCAAAUAGUGAUUAUAUGUGUGCUGGGUCUGAUUAUGUUAUCUUUCUCAUCAGCAGCUUGCUUUUUUUUCGUAUGUACUUAAUUUCUUUCUGAACCACCAGAUAAUUGUGAAUUGUUCAAUUUCUAAAAUCCUUACUGUGGAUGAUAUGAAUUUAUUCUGUUUUGAAAUUUUUUUUUUUGCUCGUCUUAAAUUUUUUGGAAACUCAAGUUUUGGGGCUAGGAUGAGAGUCACUAUCAAUAAAAGCAACUAAACAUCUUAGUCCUCAUUUCCAGGAGUAUCUUUCUGAAUUUAGGGAUUCCUUAUUGUUGUUUAAUUAAGUUAAACACUAUAAUUGUUCGUGAAGUAUCUUACUAAAGAUUGGAUAAGGACAUAUAUAGUGUGGUGGGAUGUUGAUUGAGACUAAUUGAUGAAAAUAGACAUUUAUGAUUACCAUGUGAGACCCUCAAUGUACAAGGUGAAACCUUAGAAUUCCACUCAGCUCUGGAUUCCAGUGAUACGUAUAAAGGUAUUCUGAUUACUUAUAGCAUAAUAUGGUAUUUGAAAUGGAAGACAGUACAGUACAGUUACUCUGAUUAUGAAUUGCCAUCAUGGUUAAACAUCUUGGUAGGGUGGUUUAUUCUCUCAUUCUGAUUUUUUGAGGCAAUAUAUUGGGGCAAGUCUUUUCUUAAUCUUUUCUGGAUCAAUACCCAU